rnacentral:rRNA from 1 species
GAUGAACGCUGGCGGCGUGCCUAAUACAUGCAAGUCGAGCGAACAGAUGAGGAGCUUGCUCCUCUGACGUUGGCGACGGACGGGUGAGUAACACGUGGAUAACCUACCUAUAAGACUGGGAUUACUUCGGGAAACCGGAGCUAAUACCGGAUAAUAUAUUGAGCCUGAUGGUUCAAUAGUGAAAGACGGUUUUGCUGUUGCUUAUACAUGGUUCCGCGCCGCAUUAGCUAGUUGGUAAGGUAACGGCUUACCCAGGCAACGAUGCGUAGCCGACCUGAGAGGGUGAUCGGCCACAUGGGAACUGAGACACGGUCCAGAGUCCUACGGGAGGCAGCAGUAGGGAAUCGUACGCAAUGGGCGAAAGCCUGACGGAGCAACGCCGAGUGAGUGAUGAAGGUCUUCGGAGCGUAAAACUCUGUUAUUAGGGAAGAACAAAUGUGUAAGUAACUAUGCACGUCUUGACGGUACCUAAUAAGAAAGCCACGGCUAACUACGUG